rnacentral:rRNA from 1 species
UACGUAGGGUGCAGGCGUUAAUCGGAAUUACUGGGCGUAAAGCGUGCGCAGGCGGCUAUGCAAGACAGAUGUGAAAUCCCCGGGCUCAACCUGGGAACUGCAUUUGUGACUGCAUAGCUAGAGUACGGUAGAGGGGGAUGGAAUUCCGCGUGUAGCAGUGAAAUGCGUAGAUAUGCGGAGGGAACACCGAUGGCGAAGGCAAUCCCCCUGGACCUGUACUGACGCUG